rnacentral:rRNA from 1 species
CAAUGAAGAGUUUGAUCCUGGCUCAGGACGAACGCUGGCGGCGUGCCUAACACAUGCAAGUCAAGGGGAAAGUACUGUUUCGGCGGUACGAGUACACUGGCGGACGGGUGAGUAGCGCGUAGGCAACCUGCCCAUAGGACCGGGAUAACCUAUCGAAAGGUGGGCUAAUACCGGAUGAUGCAGCGGACCUGCCUGGGUAUGUUGUUAAAGGCAGCAUGGGUUUACCUGUGUUGCGCCUAUGGAUGGGCCUGCGUCCCAUUAGCUAGUUGGUAGGGUAA